rnacentral:misc_RNA from 1 species
AAAAGGAAAGGAAAAAAAAAAAAAAAAAGCUGAAAUCCACUGCAAAUAAUAAUGCUUUGGAAGGUAAACAGUUGACGAUUUGACGUUGGUCGACCAAGAACAGAACCAGCUGAUCUUCUUCCUCCUGCAAUCUCUAAUUUCAGGCUUCAAAUCCGCCCAUUUUAAUGCCUCUCCAGCUUCUUCAUGCCUAGCGGAGUGGCAGUGGCAGUAAUUCUACUGGAUUGAGCAGAGGAUCAUGAAUUUCCUAAUCGGAGCUUUCAAGCCGCCAUGUAACAUUUCAAUCACUUUUGCUGAUGGAAGAACUCGCAAGCAGGUUCCAUUUAAAAAGGAAAAUGGCCAAACAGUUAUGGUUCCUCUCUUUCAAAGUCAAGAAAACAUUGUCGGAGAGGUUGUUGUAGAACCAACACAAGGAAAGAAGGUUGAACAUACUGGC